rnacentral:pre_miRNA from 1 species
CGAGGCGGGCGGAUCAUGAGGUCAGGAGAUCGAGACCAUCCUGGCUAACNGUUAGCCAGGAUGGUCUCGAUCUCCUGACCUCGUGAUCCGCCCAUCUCG